CGCCCCGCUACAGCCAGCCACCGCCCCGCCCCCGCUACAGCCCGCCGUCGCCCCACACCCCCGCUCUCUGCUGCGGAUCCAUCCUCCAAUCCCCCGUCUCUCGCUACCUCUCCCGACCCACAUCUCUCUCACGAACUAGGGUUAGGCACCGCCACUGUUUUCCUGGUCGACGGCAAGCUCCCGCGCCACCUACGGCUACGCCCAUCCCCGCCUCCCUAUCUCUCCACAGGAGCUCGACCCUACCGCCCUCUCCCGGUGGGAGCUCUACAACGACGAUCGAGCGCUGCAGGGCGUUGGUCCUCCUAUCCCACGCCGCCGCCAGCCGCCUGGACGCCACGCUGGAGGCCCUCGGCGCCGCCGCGAGCCAAGACGCAUUCCUCCACAAAGCUGUGAUCCGGGGCUUCACCGACGCAGGCCACCAUGCUGGCCGCCGUCGCGCACGCCGGCCGCUUCACCUUUCCCGAUCUAGGAAACCAGCAUUGCCGCUCCCCAUCUCUUAGUACAGAGGUGAUGACAAAGGAGGAAGAGGCGUUGUCAAGGUAAAUGAGGAAGAGAAGGCCAGAAAAGGAGAAUCAGCAAGGCAGAAACUUUUUGAUCUCAAGGCACGAUUCUGCAGGUUGGACGAGCUGCUGACAAAGGCACAUCUGUAUUCUGAAUUUCUACUCGAAAAGAUGGACCAUCAGCUACAGAUUAUGUUGGCAGUUAUUCAAAUGAAAAAUAGGGAUGAACAUGUGGAAGAUCUGAAUAAAGGACAUGGUAUAAAAAGGAAAGCAAAGCCUAAACACUACAGUGAUGCAGGUAUGGAAUAGAACGUGAGUACGCUUCGAUGUAGAGACGCGAACUCUCCUCUUAGCCAGGACAUGAAAUCCUCAUACGGGUGGCCAAGGCGAAUUAGGCGAAUCGUUGCUGCUCUUGCUGGGUGAUAACUAGGCCAUGAGUGGACUGUUCGUCUCAUUAUCCAGAUGUAUUUACAAGCUGGCCACCUCCACAAAUCAAUGGAUAUUUUUUUAUCAUGCAACAGUGCAACGUCGUGUUUGAUUCCUUCGGCCUCAUGCUAUCAUAUACAGUACUUCUUAAUCUUUGAGUCAGAAGGAGAAAAUUAUUACGAGUGUAUUGGACAUUCUUGAAGUUGCAUUAGAUUCUUGCAAAUAAGGAGAUAUUCUAGAUUUUAUUGUCAAUGCUUUAAUCAGAAGAGAUAAAAUCUUGCAUGUUAUUUGUAUAAUUCAACAGUUAAUGAGCUUGAACACUGAAAUAAGUAAAGGGUCCUUUCAACUAUAGAAAAAUAUUUUUGCACGAAGGACAUCGGAGAUAUGAUGAACUACUUGGAAGAGUGAAGGUAUUUAUCCAUGCUCCGUCUUUGCAAUUGAAUGAUUGCGUCUUUGAGCACAAAUCUUGGUACUGACGUGUCAUAUUUUGUCUUUGAAAGAGUUCUUUCUUGAGCAGUACAAGUACUACGGAGAAAUAAAGUACGUUAAAUGUUGUUACUUGCCUUGAAGUGUGU